AUAGAGUAAUUGAGUAAUUCUUAGUAAAAACUUAAAAUCUUGUCUCAAUGAAACCUAACAUGUCAUCUUUCAUUUAAAAAAAAAUGUCAUCGGUGCUUGCAUGCAUGACGCGAAAGACCGCCCGUAGCGGCGACUGCCGACACGCGCGUUUCUGGCCCUUAUCCGGACCAUUCUCUGUUUCUUAAAACGUACUGCGGACUAUGUUAAUCCGCCACGAGUCAAUCCUCGCGCGAGGCGCAUUUUUCCCGGC
rnacentral:lncRNA from 1 species